GACGAACGCUGGCGGCGUGCUUAACACAUGCAAGUCGAACGGAAAGGCCCUGCUUGCGUGGUACUCGAGUGGCGAACGGGUGAGUAACACGUGGGUGAUCUGCCCCUUACUUUGGGAUAAGCCUGGGAAACUGGGUCUAGUACUGGAUAGGACCAUGCUUUAGGUAGUGUGGUGGAGAGUUUAGUUUCGGUAAGGGAUGAGCUCGCGUCCUAUCAGCUUGUUGGUGGGGUAAUGACCUACAAAGGCGUCGACGGGUAGCCGGCCUGAGAGGGUGGACGGCCACAUUGGGAUUGAGCUACGGCACAGACUACUACAUGAUGCAGCAGUGGGGAAUAUUGCACCAUGGGAGCAAGCCUGAGUCAGCAACGCCGCGUGAGGGAUGACGGCCUCCGGUUUGUAAACUCCUUUCAGCCAUGACGAAGCCCUUGUGGUGACGGUAGUGGUAGAAGAAGCACCGGCUAACUACGUG
rnacentral:rRNA from 1 species